UGCGGACGUGGCGGAAUUGGUAGACGCAAGGGACUUAAAAUCCCUCGAUGGCAACGUCGUGCGGGUUCGAUCCCCGCCGUCCGCACCAC
rnacentral:tRNA from 1 species